UGGUAUCGUGAAAGAUAGUCUUGAGGGA
rnacentral:piRNA from 1 species